GGCUCCAUUGUGCUCGCGAGCGGGGCACGCCGGGAUAUGUAGUUUCCGGCCCCCGCCCUCCGGGAGGUCCUGUGCUGCCCACUUCACAGUGACUUGUCUCUGCCUGGUGAACACGCGGUGUUCUGCUAAUCUUGGAAAAAUCAAGUCCCUCUUCUUCCUCGUCCAUGAUGGCCACAUGGAGAGUAAAACACAGAAAUCUGUUCUCUGGUCUUUCGUCUCUUCGGCAUAAAUUAUUUCUUGCCCUGUCGACAAGUUAAUAGGUAUUUGUAAAUCUGAGUCGGAGCCUCAAUGUGAGAUGCAGAGACUGCCCAUCAAACCACAGCCAUAUUCAUCAAGCUUUGAGCCGAUCCGGUGAAGGAGAAAUGAGCACUGCAUACAUUAUUCAGAGAAAGGGACCAAAUAAAGCUUUUAAUAGGAAAUGAAAAUGUAUUUUAAAGCGUCAGUGCAAAGAGCCAAUUAUUUUCAUUAUGUAUGUUUUAUCUUGCAAUGACCUCUGGUUUAUCAGUGGAAUUAAGAGAUGAGUG